rnacentral:rRNA from 1 species
UUUUUUCUUCCCCCCCCCCUGGGCCACUGUGGGGCGGAGGGGUUUAAAUAGUUUUCCGUUUUUUCAACCCCCCCAAAUCCAUGUAAUUAAAAUGAAAGUAAAUGAAGUAACGCCUCCAUAGAAAUUAGGUUCAACAACGGGUUUUUUGGGUUUUGCCUUGGAGAAGAACGCAAGGAAAUUCGAUAAAUAAAGUGAAAUGCAGAAUUCCAGGAAUUCUUGGAUUUUUGAACGCCCCCUGCGGUCCUUGGUUUUCCCUGGAGCCAGCCUGUUUGAGUUUCCAGAAAUUUUCAAAGUAAAUUUUUUGGUAAAUCAACUGGUUUUGGUUUGGACUUGGAGGUUUUUUGCAGAUUUCACGUCUGCUCCUCUUAAAUGCAUUAGCUGGAUCUCAGUAUAUGCUUGGUUCCACUCGGCGUGAUAAGUAUCACUCGCUGAGGACACUGUAAAAGGUGGCCAGGAAAUACAGAUGAACCGCUUCUAAUAGUCUAUUAAGUUAGACAAUUAAUUUUAAGAUCUGAUCUCAAAUCAGGUGGACUUCCC